UACUCAGUCUAGACAGAUAGAUGGGAAG
rnacentral:piRNA from 1 species